rnacentral:rRNA from 1 species
GUGAGGAAUUUUCCGCAAUGGGCGAAAGCCUGACGGAGCAAUGCCGCGUGAAGGAUGAAGGCCUAUGGGUUGUAAACUUCUUUUCUCAGAAAAGAAUUAUGACGGUAUCUGAGGAAUAAGCAUCGGCUAACUCUGUGCCAGCAGCCGCGGUAAGACAGAGGAUGCAAGCGUUAUCCGGAAUGAUUGGGCGUAAAGCGUCUGUAGGUUGUUUAAAAAGUAUUCUGUCAAAGAUUAGGGCUUAACCCUAGAUAGGCAGAAUAAACUUUUAAGCUAGAGUUUGGUAGAGGCAGAGGGAAUUCCCGGUGGAGCGGUGAAAUGCGUAGAUAACGGGAGGAACACCAAAGGCGAAGGCACUCUGCUGGGCCAAUACUAACACUGAGAGACGAAAGCGAGGGGAGCAAAUGGGAUUAGAUACCCUAGUAGUCC